rnacentral:rRNA from 1 species
GAUGAACGCUGGCGGCGUGCUUAACACAUGCAAGUCGAACGGAAAGGCUCCUGCUUGCAGGGGUACUCGAGUGGCGAACGGGUGAGUAACACGUGGGUGAUCUGCCCUGGACUUCGGGAUAAGCCUGGGAAACUGGGUCUAAUACCGGAUAGGACGAUGGUUUGGAUGCCAUUGUGGAAAGUUUUUUCGGUGUGGGAUGAGCUCGCGGCCUAUCAGCUUGUUGGUGGGGUAAUGGCCUACCAAGGCGUCGACGGGUAGCCGGCCUGAGAGGGUGUACGGCCACAUUGGGACUGAGAUACGGCCCAGACUCCUACGGGAGGCAGCAGUGGGGAAUAUUGCACAAUGGGCGCAAGCCUGAUGCAGCGACGCCGCGUGGGGGAUGACGGCCUUCGGGUUGUAAACUCCUUUCGCUAGGGACGAAGCGCAAGUGACGGUACCUGGAGAAGAAGCACCGGCUAACUACGUG